rnacentral:rRNA from 1 species
GACGAACGCUGGCGGCGUGCUUAACACAUGCAAGUCGAACGGAAAGGCCCUGCUUUUGUGGGGUGCUCGAGUGGCGAACGGGUGAGUAACACGUGAGCAACCUGCCCUUGACUUUGGGAUAACUUCAGGAAACUGGGGCUAAUACCGGAUAGGAGCUCCUGCUGCAUGGUGGGGGUUGGAAAGUUUCGGCGGUUGGGGAUGGACUCGCGGCUUAUCAGCUUGUUGGUGGGGUAGUGGCUUACCAAGGCUUUGACGGGUAGCCGGCCUGAGAGGGUGACCGGCCACAUUGGGACUGAGAUACGGCCCAGACUCCUACGGGAGGCAGCAGUGGGGAAUAUUGCACAAUGGGCGGAAGCCUGAUGCAGCAACGCCGCGUGCGGGAUGACGGCCUUCGGGUUGUGAACCGCUUUCGCCUGUGACGAAGCGUGAGUGACGGUAAUGGGUAAAGAAGCACCGGCUAACUACGUG